rnacentral:rRNA from 1 species
UACGUAGGGUGCGAGCGUUGUCCGGAAUUAUUGGGCGUAAAGAGCUUGUAGGCGGUUUGUCGCGUCUGCUGUGAAAAUCCGGGGCUCAACCCCGGACUUGCAGUGGGUACGGGCAGACUGGAGUGUGGUAGGGGAGACUGGAAUUCCUGGUGUAGCGGUGAAAUGCGCAGAUAUCAGGAGGAACACCGGUGGCGAAGGCGGAUCUCUGGGCCUGUCCUGACGCUGAGGCGCGAAAGCUAGGGGAGCGAACAGG